UCCGGUGGUUCUGAAUGGAAGGGCCAUCGCUCAACGGAUAAAAGGUACUCCGGGGAUAACAGGCUGAUACCGCCCAAGAGUUCAUAUCGACGGCGGUGUUUGGCACCUCGAUGUCGGCUCAUCACAUCCUGGGGCUGAAGUAGGUCCCAAGGGUAUGGCUGUUCGCCAUUUAAAGUGGUACGCGAGCUGGGUUUAGAACGUCGUGAGACAGUUCGGUCCCUAUCUGCCGUGGGCGCUGGAGAACUGAGGGGGGCUGCUCCUAGUACGAGAGGACCGGAGUGGACGCAUCACUGGUGUUCGGGUUGUCAUGCCAAUGGCACUGCCCGGUAGCUAAAUGCGGAAGAGAUAAGUGCUGAAAGCAUCUAAGCACGAAACUUGCCCCGAGAUGAGUUCUCCCUGACUCCUUGAGAGUCCUGAAGGAACGUUGAAGACGACGACGUUGAUAGGCCGGGUGUGUAAGCGCAGCGAUGCGUUGAGCUAACCGGUACUAAUGAACCGUGAGGCUUAAC
rnacentral:rRNA from 1 species